rnacentral:rRNA from 1 species
UAGAUACGGCGAGUGAGCGGCAAAAGCUCAAAUUUGAAAUCUGGUACCUUCGGUGCCCGAGUUGUAAUUUGGAGAGGGCAACUUUGGGGCCGUUCCUUGUCUAUGUUCCUUGGAACAGGACGUCAUAGAGGGUGAGAAUCCCGUGUGGCGAGGAGUGCGGUUCUUUGUAAAGUGCCUUCGAAGAGUCGAGUUGUUUGGGAAUGCAGCUCUAAGUGGGUGGUAAAUUCCAUCUAAAGCUAAAUAUUGGCGAGAGACCGAUAGCGAACAAGUACAGUGAUGGAAAGAUGAAAAGAACUUUGAAAAGAGAGUGAAAAAGUACGUGAAAUUGUUGAAAGGGAAGGGCAUUUGAUCAGACAUGGUGUUUUGUGCCCUCUGCUCCUUGUGGGUAGGGGAAUCUCGCAUUUCACUGGGCCAGCAUCAGUUUUGGUGGCAGGAUAAAUCCAUAGGAAUGUAGCUUGCCUCGGUAAGUAUUAUAGCCUGUGGGAAUACUGCCAGCUGGGACUGAGGACUGCGACGUAAGUCAAGGAUGCUGGCAUAAUGGUUAUAUGCAGCCCGUCUUGA